rnacentral:misc_RNA from 1 species
GCUUGAUUUAGAGAAGCAAAACGCGUUCCCAAGAGAUUUGGAACCCAACGGGUUAGGAGAAUCUCGCAUCUAUGGACCGUCCUUACAUCACUUAUAGGCAGGGGAGAACCUACAAGAAGUAGCGGGAUAGUAACUCACUAUGCGAAUGGCUAGCUAUACCGGUCACUCCAAGGUAGUCGACUAGUCACUCCCCCCUAAAGA